UUAAGCUUAGUGUAGUGGUUAUUAUGGCUGGGUCACCAUACGGUUCUGUCCCAGCAGAUCUUGGUUCAAUUCCAGGAGCUCUCA